rnacentral:rRNA from 1 species
AUCCUGGCUCAGAUUGAACGCUGGCGGCAUGCUUUACACAUGCAAGUCGAACGGCAGCACAGGGAGCUUGCUCCCGGGUGGCGAGUGGCGCACGGGUGAGUAAUACAUCGGAACGUGUCCUGUUGUGGGGGAUAACUGCUCGAAAGGGUGGCUAAUACCGCAUGAGACCUGAGGGUGAAAGCGGGGGAUCGCAAGACCUCGCGCAAUUGGAGCGGCCGAUGCCCGAUUAGCUAGUUGGUGAGGUAAAGGCUCACCAAGGCGACGAUCGGUAGCUGGUCUGAGAGGACGACCAGCCACAUUGGGACUGAGACACGGCCCAGACUCCUACGGGAGGCAGCAGUGGGGAAUAUUGCACAAUGGAGGAAACUCUGAUGCAGCGACGCCGCGUGAGCGAAGAAGUAUUUCGGUAUGUAAAGCUCUGUCAGCAGGGAAGAUAAUGACGGUACCUGACCAAGAAGCCCCGGCUAACUACGUG